rnacentral:rRNA from 1 species
AACGAACGCUGGCGGCAUGCCUAACACAUGCAAGUCGAACGAGACCUUCGGGUCUUUUGGCGCACGGCUUCGUAACGCGUCGGAACCUGCCCUUAUGUUCGGAAUAACUCUCCGACAGGGGUGCUAAUACCGGAUAAUGUCUUCUGACCAAAGAUUUAUCGCGUUUGGUUGGGCCCGCGUUGGAUUAGCUAUUUGUUAGGGUAAAAGCCUACCAAGGCGCCGAUUCAUAGCUUGUCUGAGAGGAAGAUCAGCCACACUGGGAGUGGGACACGGCCCAGACUCCUACGGGAGGGAGCAGUGGGGAAUAUUGGAACAUGGGGGGAAGCAUGAAGGAGCAAUGACGCGUGAGCGCUGAAGGCCUUAGGGUUGUAAAGCUCAAUUAACCGGGAUGAUAAUGACAGUACCGGGAGAAUAAGCCCCGGCUAACUCCGUG